AUCUUGGUGCCUCCUAAAUACAGCAUAAAAAUCGAGCAGAGGAGAUAGACUUUGGAGACAAAACACACCAACUAAAACGUAUCAUCAUGCCCAAACAUAUUACCAGAAACACUGGAAUAAGAUCAACAAUAGGUAUUAGAAAACUUUUGAAACUGUAUCAUAAGAACAACACCCAAAAGCCCAAGGUGUCCCUUUCCUCUCAGCAAUCCCAGGGCAAUCAAGGGAAACUACUUCCUCUUGAUACUCAGGCUGAAAACAGUGGUUCAAAUAAGAUUAAUUCAAACAAUUUUUGAACAGGUUUAUGCUAGCCAUCUUAAACUGUGAUAGCAAUGGAGAGAACCGUACCACUUGAGAGGUCAACGACAUUGUGACACGGUGGUGCCAGCCCCAGUCACUCCUUGCAGCACAUGGUGCCCUCCCUCUCACACCACGCCACUGCUGCACUCUUACCUUACCAGUGGCCACAGCCCUUGCCGGAUUCUGGAAGUUUCAGCAUCAAAAGAAAGCACAGCCCAAACCGCUGUUCACUUCACCUCGCUCUCCCUGCAGACAGCAUAGCACCCCACAGCCAGGUAGUGCCAGUGCUGGAAGCUUCCUGAAAGUGGGCGGCAACAGCGGUGGCACAGCCCAGCCUUGCCUCACAAAGGCCCCACAUGCUGUCCCUGUGCUGUGACUGCCCCGCUGCUGGCAGGUGUUAUCAUGGCUUCUGCAAGCGGCUUGUGCGGGACUUGUGCACAGGGAAAUGACAAUAUUCACUUUUGGCUGUGCAUUUCAAAUACAGUUCAAACAGAACUGCUGGAUCCAUUGCAGCCCAUCCCUAGCCACCACUCUGAAGAGCAGGAUGCGCUGCUACCUGUCCGUGCUGCAGUGGCUGGUGCUGGUGGGCUCAAUCGCUCUCACUCAGGACAAACUGGCACAUAGGUGCAAAACUGUUGUCUUUUGGAACAUGCCUCUCAUGGACUUGGCUGUUGUCGAAAUCCCUUGUCACAACAGCUCAGUGAAACAGGUAUGGAAAGGAUUGACAGACAGUCUUAAACCGUGUGCCAUCAACACUACGUAAACCAAACUGCAUGUUGCUUUUGUAUUUUGUCCCUUUGUUGCUUAUGUACACUUAAUUUCACAUUUUAUUAAAAAAAAAAUGUUGAUGAAUAAGUGUAUUAGAGUUGUGGGCAUUAUCCUCCUCCGCUUUGUGCUGCAGUACAGCUGGGACACGAACCCUCUUUGUGGGUACUGUGCUAGUUUGCGCAUAAUGAGGCACCUCUGCUGCACGGAUAUAUAUGGGACCAGGAAAAUGAAGUGACAACUUAUUUCCCCAAAUUCCUAGAAUUUAGUACCCAACAUAGUAAAAUACAAUGGGCGAUUGGUCAAACUCGAGCAACUGAAAUACGACGUGAAAACGUAACCUAGAAGAAAAGGAAUUACAUCUGGUCUGUGGUAUUUUAGCAUGGUUAAUGGCCAUGCAAUUGUUCAUUCUGGUCCAUGUUCAAAGCCUCCCAUUGAAUAUAGGAGUUAACAGGUAAAAAUGGAGGCAGUUCACUGAAUGACUGGGGAUUUUUACAAGGUGUUUUUAGAACUCUCUCAUCCUCUCCCUACAUACCUUUUUCAGAGAGAUUGCGGUGUUUAAACUAUAUUUAGCUAUAAAAGUGAGACAUUACCUACAUCCUGCUAUAGCGGAGAAGGUAAAUCAAGGCUUUCACAUGCAUUUCCAAACUAUUUUUAAAGGAC
rnacentral:lncRNA from 1 species